AGCCUUUGCUAUCGCCAUCACCUUCAUUUAGCUCACUUGAUUCUCUCUCUUGUUUUCUUGUUAAUAAACCAAAGUCUGAUACCACAUCCCCCUCACUCUCACCUUCAACCUCAGAUUACUCCAGUUCUUUCACCUUUUCUCCCUCAUCUUCUAAUUGGUCCGACUUGGCAUACCUAUCUGCACAGCCUUCACCUACAAGAUUUGAAUACGAAGAUCCUAACUUUGUGAAGAAUGAUU
rnacentral:lncRNA from 1 species